rnacentral:rRNA from 1 species
UGUAGUGGCAGGGGGAACGCUUUUUCUUUCCCGGAGCUUGCUCCACCGAAAGAAAAAGAGUGGCGAACGGGUGAGUAACACGUGGGUAACCUGCCCAUCAGAAGGGGAUAACACUUGGAAACAGGUGCUAAUACCGUAUAACACUAUUUUCCGCAUGGAAGAAAGUUGAAAGGCGCUUUUGCGUCACUGAUGGAUGGACCCGCGGUGCAUUAGCUAGUUGGUGAGGUAACGGCUCACCAAGGCAACGAUGCAUAGCCGACCUGAGAGGGUGAUCGGCCACACUGGGACUGAGACACGGCCCAGACUCCUACGGGAGGCAGCAGUAGGGAAUCUUCGGCAAUGGACGAAAGUCUGACCGAGCAACGCCGCGUGAGUGAAGAAGGUUUUCGGAUCGUAAAACUCUGUUGUUAGAGAAGAACAUGGAUGAGAGUAAAAUGUUCAUCCCUUGACGGUAUCUAACCAGAAAGCCACGGCUAACUACGUGCCAGCAGCCGCGGUAAUACGUAGGUGGCAAGCGUUGUCCGGAUUUAUUGGGCGUAAAGCGAGCGCAGGCGGUUUCUUAAGUCUGAUGUGAAAGCCCCCGGCUCAACCGGGGAGGGUCAUGGGGGGCUGGGAGACUUGAGUGCAGAACAGGAAAGUGUAAUUCCAUGUGUAGCG